AAACUAAAUCAUACCAAGAACCCACAUCAAUUGAAAAUCAAUAGAUCAUUACUCAUUUUCACUAAAAAAAAAAAAUCAACUGAAUCACGUUUGAUAACUAUAGAAACAUAUAUUAUGUCUGUAGCAAACCACCCCACCAUGAACCUCUGCAAAAUCUCAAAAUCAUUGUUAACCACACACACCAUGAACCUCCACAAACCGCCCCUACCUCCAAACCACAGUGAAUCCCUUAAUAUUCGUCGUCUCUACUCCCUCUUGCAACCUCAAUCAGACCCAAAUCCCAAACAACAAAUUGAGAUCCAAAAUCGAAACCUUUAAAACAGAAAAUGCGACUUCCUCGCCGAUUAGGAGAAGUUGUCGUCAUUGUCACUGCUGCUGGUGAUAGCGACAGUAUAUUGGGUCCCAAUUCAUCUUGAACAGGACCCGCCUUUGGCCAUGCUCUGGACCCAAACCCUAACCUCCAAGAUCAAGGGAUUCCCUUUCUCAACCAUGGCGUCCUUAAUCCUCUUUUCCACCGGUGCCUCACCGUUACAGUAACCUUCACCUCGCUUCUUAAAGUUGAUGACACUGUCAAGAUUCCCUAUAGUGUGCGCUAGUUUCGUGAAGGUGAGGAUUGGGGCAAAUGAGGAGAUAGAGGCACUGGUAGAAGAAGGUGUCGACGAUGAUGUGGAAGCGCCUGAGGGCUUCAUACGUUGACCGAAGCUUGGUGAGGGCUUUGUCGGGGGUGUUUUGAUGCCUCCAACGACAGUGAUGUGGGGUUGGAAGUGGGGCCCCCUGAACUCGUAUCGGAGGGCGAUCAUGCUCUCGGAGAGGAGGUUGGAGAAGAAGGCUUCGAACCAGUGCUAGGAAUUGUAGUGUGAAUGUCAGGGAUAAAGGAAGAACACAUUUGUGGGGGUGUAAAAAAGGGUAUAAUGGAUAAUAACAAUUUUAAUUUGAAGAAUGGGGGGCUUGCUUAGAAAUUAGGGAGGCUAAUUUAGCAAGAGCCUUACACUAAACAAGAAACUAUAAAUGGAUCAAUGGGCUAGAAAAAAAAAAACAGUUAUUGCUUGGGGCACCCAGUAACGUGGGUGAAAGGGUUAAAAUGUCAUUCAUUCUUUCAUAUAAAAAACGCACAGUGAUCCGUCCGUACGAGUCGCUGUUCAUUCUCCACUUCCACACGGUGUUUCUUCUUCUUCCUCUUUUCUUCUUCUUCCAAACCGCUUCUUCUCCCUCUUUUCCGCAUGUGGUGGUUGGUUGUCCGUGGUUGCUGGUUGCGGCUUUUCUUCUUGUUGGUGCUGGUGCGUCUUCUUAUUGUGGUGGUUUCGUCUUGUUGAUCGCCUUCGAGAAUGUCAGGCUCUACUCCACCAUCAUCACGGUUAAGCACCCUCAACUAGAAACUCGAUAUGAUUCUUACGACUCUGCCUAAUUUACGGUGAAGUUAGUAUGUCAUUUACUAUGAGGUGGAAAGACGUACUUGACCGCUUAUGAUAUUUCAUUGACAAGGAUGGAAAUUUCCAUACCGUUGUCUACAACCAAGAUUUGGACAAACCAACCAUUAUAGCAGGGUAGAUAACACUAAGAGAUUUUUAUCACCUGUCAAAAUUAUUCCCAAGACAACACUCGUUAUACCAUCAAGUGCCAAAUUCUGUCACUUUCAAGGUGUAUCUCACUUCACAGAAAGUUACCUACAACAACCUGGACGUUCCAAGCACCAUGUAUUAUUUUCUUAAAGACAAAGGCUGAACUCAUUUGUAUUUGGAGGACGUUGUAGAAUGUCGGCUUGUAUUCAAUCAUUGGAGAAAGACACUUAAAAUUGGAGCUGGAUAAAAUUUUUUUUGUAAAACCCUGUCCUUGACAGAUAGCAUGGAAAUUGUCUUUGAAUUCAUUGAUCUGACUCUUAACCAUAUGUUAUUUUGGUCAUGUUUAUGAACAUUAUUAAGACUUGAAACAUUGAAAAUUUUAAUUAUUAGGAACAUUAUUAUGACUUAUGAACAUUAUCCCUUUGU